rnacentral:rRNA from 1 species
GACGUAGGGCGCGAGCGUUGUCCGGAAUUAUUGGGCGUAAAGAGCUCGUAGGCGGUUUGUCGCGUCUGCUGUGAAAACCUAAGGCUCAACCUUGGGCUUGCAGUGGGUACGGGCAGACUAGAGUGCGGUAGGGGUGACUGGAAUUCCUGGUGUAGCGGUGGAAUGCGCAGAUAUCAGGAGGAACACCGAUGGCGAGGGCAGGUCACUGGGCCGCAACUGACGCUGGAGGAGC